rnacentral:rRNA from 1 species
UACGGAGGGAGCUAGCGUUGUUCGGAAAUACUGGGCGUAAAGCGCACGUAGGCGGCGCAGCAAGUCAGGGGUGAAAUCCCGGGGCUCAACCCCGGAACUGCCCUUGAAACUGCAGUGCUAGAAUCUUGGAGAGGCGAGUGGAAUUCCGAGUGUAGAGGUGAAAUUCGUAGAUAUUGGGAAGAACACCGGUGGCGAAGGCGGCCAUCUGGACCGCAACUGACGCUGAGACGCGAAAGCGUGGGGAGCAAACAGG